rnacentral:rRNA from 1 species
CGCAGGCUGCAACCCGCCUGCGUGAAGUUGGAAUCGCUAGUAAUCGCGGAUCAGCAUGCCGCGGUGAAUACGUUCCCGGGCCUUGUACACACCGCCCGUCACACCAUGAGAGUCGGGAACACCCGAAGUCCGUAGCCUAACCGCAAGGGGGCGCGGCCGAAGGUGGGUUCGAUAAUUGGGGUGAAGUCGUAACAAGGUACC